rnacentral:lncRNA from 10 species
AGCUCAGGGGCUGCCUUUGCUCACUAGAAGCAGGGAGCUCUCUUCUCCAUGCUAGCCUUUCCUUAAAAUAGUUAUUUUUGUUUAUCAUUUCUACUUUCGUCCCUUUGUUCAGCCCUGUAAUGACAGUCUCAAGGAGUAACAGUAGUAACUGCUGUGAUGGUCUGAAGUAGCAACCGUGGGAGUUGGCCACACAGGUUCAUCAGUUUUAUUCAUAUUAGCUAAAGUGGAAACAACCCAAUGCCCAUCAGCGGAAUAGAUACAUUCAUCAUGGUAUAUUCAUAAAAUGAUAUACUACAUGGCAAUCAAUAGAACAAACUACUGAAAUAAGCAACAAUGUGGAUGACUCUCAGAGAUAUUAAGUGAGUGAAAGAAGCCAAAUUUAAAAGAGUACAUACUGUAUGACUUCACUCAUACAUAGUUCAAAAAUAGGUAAAACUACUCGAUGAUAGAAGUUGGAAUAAUGAUUACUUAGCCAUGGAGUUAGGAUACAGACUGAGAAGCAGCAAGAGGAAACUUUUUUAGGUGAUGGGAAUUUUCUAUAUCUUGAUUUGUGUGGUGAUGACAUAAGUGAAUACACAUGCAAUAAUUCAUGAAGUUAUUAGGAUUGGUGCUUUGGGUGUAUGUGUAUUAUCCCUCUAGAAACAUUAAAAAAAAUUACUGAGGGUUCUAGUCACAAGAAACUUAUUAGGUAAGCAACGAACAGUAUUUGUGAUACCCACUCCUGGGGGGCCUGAGAACUCAGGAUCUUAGUCUUCCUAUACUAUCUACCUGCAGUGCCUGUCUCACUGACCCUAUGAAGGAGAAGGAUCUGCAGAGCACAUUCUCAGGACAUCUACCCAUGAGGCUGGUGGGACUCUUGUGAUUGCUACUUGAAUUGGAAUAAUCGGAACGGACACAUGUAAAAGGAAUGCAGAAGGACCAGACAGAUCUCUUCAAAUGUAAACCUAUGACUUAAAAUUCAGUUUCAUGAGCACUGUGGGAGACCUGAGUUUUUAACAGCUGGAGCCAAUAGUGAAGAUAGAUCUGGAAAUUUAAUUAUCCAUGGUAAGCACAAAUAAUCAGAAUUUCGGUUGACAACUGGGAGGCCUCCUUUCCUUCCUGCUAUCGUCAUCUUAAGCCUACAUUGAAAUAUGUGGUUCCUAAGGUCUUCACUGGUUGGAACCCAGAAAUAUCUUCUCAUGCAUUUUAUUUGGUUAGCAGGCUUAAUUUAAAUAAAGCAUCCGGUGAAGACUUUCUCCUAUCAAAAUUAUUCAAAGCCUCUUCUAAAUGACUUCCUCCAAAAUACAGACCCAUCUGUUUGUUAAACACUUCAUUUAAACUUAAUGCCUAUUUAUCCCUAAAAAUAUGUCAGAUUGAGGAUUUCUGGGUCAGUAUUUUACACAAGAUUCAAUAGUCGCAAGUCCUGAUACUUCAUUAUUCCCUAAUGGAAAAAUUUAUCAGGAAUAAUUGUUAGUUGCCUCACUUUUUUCUUGAAAUUAAAUGGGCCUAACUUUAAAAAAACUUAGAGAAUUAUAGACUUGGUUUUUCCUGUUUUUAACUUACUUCUCUUCUGCCUUUAACUCUGGACAAGAAUGACUCUAGGGUAAGCUGCCUGAGCGCAGUAUUAACUUCCAGUUGGUUCUUCAUUUUUUAUUUUGAGACAGAGUCUUGCUUUGUCACCCAAGCUGGAGUGCUGUGGUGCAAUCUCGGCUCACUGCAAACGUCCUGAGUUUAACCAAUUCUGAGCAAUUUUCCUGCCUCAGCCUCCGGAGUCACUGGGAUUACAGGUGCCCACCACUGUUCCCAUCUAAUUUUUGUAUUUUUAGUAGAGACGGGGUUUCACCUUGUUAGUCAGACUGGUGAACUCCUGACCUUAAGUGAUUCGCUUGCCUCCACCUCCCAAAGUGCUGGGAUUACAGGCAUGAGCCACUGUGCCUGGCCUGGUUCUUGUACAAAAGCUGCAUUUUAACAUCUUGGCAAGAGUCAAUAUCUGCAUCCUUACUAAUCUGCCUUCUAGUAAACCAGGUAGCUAGAUUGAGGGCCCUGAAGCAGGACUGUGAGUCUGACUCCCACACUUUUUCUGAUUUUUUUAAUAGUAAAAACACAUAACAUUAAAUUUACCAUCUUAACCAUUUUUAAGUGUACAGUUCAAUAGUGUUAAGUAUAUUCACAUUGUUGUGCAACAGAUCUCUGGAAUGUUUUCAUCUUGCAACACGGAAACUCGAUACCCAUUAGACACAAAUUCCCCCUCCCCACCUCCAGCCCUUGGUAACCACCUUUCUGCUUUCUGUUUCUAUUAUUUUGACUACUUUAUUUUGUUUUUUGUUUUGUUUUGAGACAGAGUCUCGCUCUGUUGCCCAGGCUGGAGUGCGGUGGUGUGGUCUUGGCUCACUGCAACCUCCAACUCCUGGGUCCAAGUGAUUAUCCUGCCUCAGCCUCCCAAGUAGCUGGGAUUAUAGGCAUGAACCACUGUGCCUGGCCUUGAUUUUGACUACUUUGGAUACUUCAUGAGAGGAAUCAUACAAUAUUUGUCUUUUUGUGCCUAGUUUAUUUUGCUUAGCCUAUGUCCUCAAGCUUUGUCCAUGUCCCCACACUUUCUUCUUCACCACUCUGAAUGGUAGAAAACUGUUGGGUGACCUGGGUUCAUCUCCCUCUGCUGGAGGCAUGAACUAGGAAUGGUUUUAAUGUUGCUCAAAAUUGAACUUUUCACAAUUAGAAGCAUUUUGUGGCUUUUUCUAUCUGUCGUGAGUGAUUGGUAAAAAUUUCUUUGAAAAUCUUCCAUGCUAAGUCACCUCAUUCACGCUCUAGAAUGGAAAACUAGGGGUACUUGAAUAUGUUCACUUAUUGAGGGCCCAGAAUAGGCCCUUUAGAAUGAUCAUCCCUUGAUUACAGGAACUCUUUCAGUGUACCUUUGAAAUGAGGUAGAUUGUAUUUUACAAAAAUGGCUGCAACAGAAUUUCUAGCCCUACAUGCUCUUCUUAACCUUGCCACUUCCCCAUCAACGCUUGGAAUCACAUCCCCUUUGCUUGAACCUGGGCAGACAUUUGUGCAUGCCUCAAUGAACAGAAUGUAGUAUAAAUGCAUGACUUCCAAGGAUGGCUCAUAAAAGAGAAUAUAACUUCUAUCUGAUUCCCUCUCUAUCUCUCUCGGACAUGCGCCUUUAGAGUCCUGAGCCACCUUGUAGGAAGUCCAGUUAUCCUAAAGUCAGACUGCUGGAGAGACCAUGUGCAAACACUCCAUAGAAAUGGAGUUGUCCAAGGAGCCAGUUGUUCCAGCCCCCAGCUGAUUGAGUCUUCCUAGCCUGGCAGCAGACAUGUGAGUAAGCAAGCCUUCAGAUGAUGCCAGCCCCAGCCUCUGUCUGACUGUAACUGCAUGAGAAAAGCUGAGCAAGAACUACCUAGAUGAGCCCUGUCAACCCCCACAACCAUGAGAGAUAAUAAUAAUGACCACUGUUGUUUAAACCACUAGGUUUUAGGGUGGUUUUCUAGGCAGCAAUAGAUAAUGGGAACAGACCGCUAGUCAUCCACUUAUCGUAAAGAAGGUUAGAUGACUUAUGUUUCAUAAAACCUUGUUGUAUUAGUCUGUCUUCCCACUGCUAAUAAAGACAUACCCGAGAUUGGGUAAUUUACAAAGAGAGGUUUAAUGGGCCCACAGUUCCACAUGGCUGGGGAGGCCUCACAAUCAUGGCAGGAAGGCAAAAAUACACAUCUUACAUGGCAGCAGGCAAAUAGAGAAUGAGCGCCAAGCAAAAGGGGUUUCCCCUUAUAAAACCAUCAGAUCUCACGAGAACAGUAUGGGGGAAACCGCCCCCAUGUUUCAAAUAUCUCCCACUGGGUCCUCUCACCCCUGUACCCCCCACACAACACGUGGUAAUUAUGGGAGCUAUGAGAUGAGAUUUGGGUGGGGACGCAACCAAUCCAUAUCACUUGUAAAAAAUCCUAUUUGUUAACUAAGAUAUACACUACCACCUUAAAGCAACAACACAGAACAACCACCCUUCAGGCCUUGAUAGAGUAUAAACUCCAACAAUCUGCUCCGAACCCUAAUCAAAGGUUGAUAUGGUUUAGCUGUGACCCCACCCAAAUCCCAUCUUGAAUUGUAGUUCCCAUAAUCCCCACAGGUUGUGGGAGGGACCAGGUGGAGAUAAUUGAAUCAUAGGGGUGAUUUCCCACAUCCUGUUCUUGUGAUAGUGAGUUCUCACAAGACCUGAUGGUUUUAUAAGGGGCUUCCCCCUUCACUGGACACUCAUUCUUCUUGCUGCUGCCAUGUAAAGAAGGACAUGUUUGCUCCCCCUUCUGCCAUAAUUGUAAGUUUCCUGGGGUCUCCCCAGCCAUGCUGAACUCUGAGUCAAUUAAACCUCUUUCCUUUAUAAAUUACCCAGUCUCGGGUAUUUCUUCAUAGCAGCAUGGGAAGGGACUAAUACAAAGGUCUCAUUAAGUGAGGUGAUCUCACUGGAGAAGUGUUUGAAGGACUUGUACUCCUCUGGAUUUUCUAGAAGUAUUCUUUGAUUUAAUGACAAUUUUAGAAAGUUUCCAUCUCGAGCCAUGCUUCCUUGGUCUGUGUUAGAAUUGCCCUCAGUGAGUCGGGCUGUAGGUUAUGCUGCAGGUUUCGUGCUACAAGACAGCUUUAGGAAAGCUCCGUUGCAUUUGCUACAGGAUAUUCUUACAAAUAUCGUUGAGGACACUGUUUACCACAUCCAUCAAUGUCCCAGAUAUAAAACUCCAUACUAGAAAUUUCUUUUAGAGCUAAAUUCCAAUAAAAGCUUGAGAAACUAAGGCGGGGAGUGGUGCUCACCCCUGUAAUCCCAGCACAUCGGAAGGCCAAGGCAGGUGGAUCCCCUGAAGUCAGGAGUUCGAGACCAACCUGGCCAACAGGGGCAAAACCCCAUCUCUACUGAAAUAUGAAAAUUAGGCGUGGUGGCGAGUGCCUGUAAUCCCAGCUACUUGGGAGGCUGAGGCAGGAGGAUUGCUUGAACCCAAGAGGGAGAGGUUGCAAUGAGCUGAGAUCGCACCACUGUACUCUAUCCUGGGCGAGAGCAAGACUCUGACUCAAAAAAAAAAAAAAAAAAAAAAACUUGAGAAACUAGAAUGUUUUGCCUUUUGCCUUUAUAGUCAAGAGAAUCACGAUUAGCCUUUAUUUUCGCUUUUUCAGCAGAAAACUCAAAUUCAAAUCUGUGGCUCAGCUUAGAAAAUUAUGUGGAGCCCUAUUGCUUGUAUAUCUCAUUUCAUCCCAUUCACUUGUUGUUUUUUCCUAAUGUAUGUUUCUCAUGAUCCUGGCUUUAUUAUUUAUAUUUUAUGUUUGAUCAAAUGUAUUGUAAGCUUUUUCAAAUCCCUUGUAGAAGAGAACAUAAUACUAAUUUUUUUUUUUAAGACAGAAUCUCACUGUUAUUACCCAGGCUGGAUUACAGUGGUGUGAUCACAGCUCACUGCAGCCUCCACCUCUUGGGCUCAAGCAAUCCUCCCACCUCAGCCUCCUACGUAGCUGGGAUCACAGGCAAGUGCCACCAUGCCCAGCUAAUCUUUUGAUUUUCUGUAGAUAUGGGGUCCCCCCAUGUUGCCCAGGCUGGUCUUGAACUCCUGGGCACAUGUGAUCUCCCCACCUCAGCCCCGCAAAGUGUUGGGGUUACAGGCAUGAGCCAUCAUGCCUGGCCCAUAAUAAUUAUAAAGAGAGAGAUGAAUGAAGAUAGGAAUAAGUAAAUUACCCUUGUGAGACCUCAGCAAAUUAUAGGCCUCCCACAGGUCUGGUUUAAUGAUUUAUUCAUUUACUUUUAAAUGUGGACUA